rnacentral:rRNA from 1 species
GACGAACGCUGGCGGCGUGCUUAACACAUGCAAGUCGAACGGAAAGGCUCCAGCUUGCUGGAGUACUCGAGUGGCGAACGGGUGAGUAACACGUGGGUAAUCUGCCCUGCACUCUGGGAUAAGCCUGGGAAACUGGGUCUAAUACUGGAUAUGACCUUUCUCCUUAUGGGGUUUGGUGGAAAGUUUUUCGGUGUAGGAUGAGCCCGCGGCCUAUCAGCUUGUAGGUGGGGUGAUGGCCUACCAAGGCGACGACGGGUAGCCGGCCUGAGAGGGUGAUCGGCCACAUUGGGACUGAGAUACGGCCCAGACUCCUACGGGAGGCAGCAGUGGGGAAUAUUGCACAAUGGGCGGAAGCCUGAUGCAGCGACGCCGCGUGAGGGAUGACGGCCUUCGGGUUGUAAACCUCUUUCAGCAGGGACGAAGCGUAAGUGACGGUACCUGCAGAAGAAGCACCGGCUAACUAUGUG